rnacentral:ncRNA from 1 species
GCGUACACGGUGGAUGCCCUGGCAGUUGGAGGCGAUGAAGGACGUGCUAAUCUGCGAUAAGCUCGGGGGAGGUGAUAUGAACCUUUGAACCGGCGAUGUCCGAAUGGGGAAACCCAGUGUGAUACGUCACACUAUCGUUAACUGAAUACAUACGUUACCGAGGCGAACCGGGGGAACUGAAACAUCUAAGUACCCCGAGGAAAAGAAAUCAACCGAGAUUCCCCCAGUAGCGGCGAGCGAACGGGGAGCAGCCCAGAGCCUGAAUCAGCAUGUGUGUUAGUGGAAGCGUCUGGAAAGUCGCAGGGUACAGGGUGAUACUCCCGUACACAAAAGCACACGCGCUNGUGAGCUCGAUNGAGUAAGGCGGGACACGUGAAAUCCUGUCUGAAGAUCGGGGGGACCACCCUCGAAGGCUAAGUACUCCUUACUGACCGAUAGCGAACCAGUACCGUGAGGGAAAGGUGAAAAGCACCCCGACGAGGGGAGUGAAACAGUUUCUGAAACCGUGUACGCCUACAAGCAGUCGGAGCCCCCUUGAGGGGUGACGGCGUACCUUUUGUAUAAUGGGUCAACGACUUGGUCUGUCUAGCAAGCUUAAGCCGUUAGGUGUAGGCGCAGCGAAAGCGAGUCUUAAAUGGGCGACAUAGUUAGACGGAUCAGACCCGAAACCGAGUGAUCUAGGCAUGAGCAGGAUGAAGGUACGGUAACACGUACUGGAGGUCCGAACCCACACCUGUUGAAAAAGGUCGGGAUGACUUGUGCCUAGGGGUGAAAGGCCAAUCAAACUCGGAGAUAGCUGGUUCUCCGCGAAAGCUAUUUAGGUAGCGCCUCGGACGUAUUCCCUGGGGGGUAGAGCACUGCAUGGAUGAUGGGGGCCCACAGCCUUACUGAGUCUAAGCAAACUCCGAAUACCCAGGAGAACUAUCCGGGAGACACACGGCGGGUGCUAACGUCCGUGUGGAGAGGGAANNNNNNNNNNNNNNNNNNNNNNNNNNNNNNNNNNNNNNNNNNNNNNNNNNGAUGAUCAGCACACGGGACUGAGACACGGCCAGACUCCUACGGGAGGCAGCAGUGGGGAAUAUGGACAAUGGGCGAAAGCCUGAUCCAGCAAUGCCGCGUG